ACUCAAAGGAAUAGACGGGGGCCCGCACAAGCGGUGGAGUAUGUGGUUUAAUUCGAAGCAACGCGAAGAACCUUACCUGGGCUUGACAUAUCCUGAAUACGGCAGAGACGUCGUAGGCUCGCAAGAGACAGGAAUACAGGUGCUGCAUGGCUGUCGUCAGCUCGUGUCGUGAGAUGUUGGGUUAAGUCCCGCAACGAGCGCAACCCUUGAUCCUAGUUGCCACCAUUAAGUUGAGCACUUUAGGAUGACUGCCGGUGAUAAACCGGAGGAAGGUGGGGAUGACGUCAAGUCCUCAUGGCCCUUACGUCCAGGGCUACACACGUACUACAAUGGCCGAAACAAACCGAAGCGAAACAGCAAUGUAGAGCAAAUCGGAAAAACACGGUCUCAGUUCGGAUUGAGGUCUGCAACUCGACCUCAUGAAGUUGGAAUCGCUAGUAAUCGUAGAUCAGCAUGCUACGGUGAAUACGUUCCCGGGCCUUGUACACACCGCCCGU
rnacentral:rRNA from 1 species